AGCGGGCACAGCUGUGAGAGCCCC
rnacentral:piRNA from 1 species